AAACUUUCAACAACGGAUCUCUUGGUUCUGGCAUCGAUGAAGAACGCAGCGAAAUGCGAUAAGUAAUGUGAAUUGCAGAAUUCAGUGAAUCAUCGAAUCUUUGAACGCACAUUGCGCCCGCCAGUAUUCUGGCGGGCAUGCCUGUCCGAGCGUCAUA
rnacentral:rRNA from 1 species